UACGUAGGGGGCAAGCGUUGUUCGGAAUUACUGGGCGUAAAGCGUGCGCAGGCGGUUUUGCAAGACAGAUGUGAAAUCCCCGGGCUUAACCUGGGAACUGCAUUUGUGACUGCAAGGCUAGAGUGUGUCAGAGGGAGGUGGAAUUCCGCGUGUAGCAGUGAAAUGCGUAGAGAUGCGGAGGAACACCGAUGGCGAAGGCAGCCUCCUGGGAUAACACUGACGCUCAUGCACGAAAGCGUGGGGAGCAAACAGG
rnacentral:rRNA from 1 species